UUCAGGAAUAUUCCUCCCCUUGUUUAGCCUAUAAUUAAGCCGUUGCUUAAAUAGAGGGGCAACAGGAACCAGGGGCCAGUUGUCUUCUAUAGGGAGAACUUGACCCUGCUCUGUCUAUGGAGUAGAUUUUCUAUAGUUUCUGAACAAAUCUUGCUUUCACUUUAUACUGUCGGCUCUCUCCUCAAAUCUUUCUUGCGCAAAGCCAACGACCCACUUGGACCUCAAGUAGCUUCCAGCAUUGGGGGUCAAUUUGCUGUGUCAUCUUCCUGGCAGUCUAGAUGGGACAAAGGGUGACACCCACCCAGACCCCAAAUUAAAACUGCACAGCACUAUUUGGAACCAAAAGUACGGUGGCUGCAAUCAAGUCACUUGCAUAGUUAUUAACCAAACUUGCAUUUCGCCUUAGUUCACCAUGUUUACAUUAUACUCCCACCUCCCCCUGGAGAAGACUUUUUCUGUCCAUCUUGGCCAUCUGAAAAUAACCAUGUUGCAUUCUGGCUGAAUAGAAAGUAGUUACAGUAAUUGCGAUUCAAGUUUAUGCUAAUGCAAGACUUCCAACCCAUCUCAUCAGCUGGAUUCAGAACAUAGAAGCAUGCUACCCCUGAGCCCCCUAGACCGUUUCCAGAGAUUUUUACUCCUCCCAUGAUAGGCAGGGCCAACACCCCUAAAGUCAGCCUGAAGCAGUUACAGAAGACACAUCUUCCUCCUUCUACAACCCCUUAUGAUUAAGGCAGUGGGGGGAGGCGGGGCGGGGGGCGGGUGUUAUCUCUGAGUGGGAAAUGAAGCAGGGAACUGGCAGGCCCUGCUUUGGGCAUUGCUUAAUUGUGCAAACAUUGUCUAACUGAGCCAAGAAGUUUUAAAACAAAGUUUGAAACUACCCUAAUCAAAACAAGAUGGAGGCAGGACAAGUCCAUGAAUAUUCCUCCCCUUGUUUAGCCUGUAAUUAAGCCAUUGCUUAAAUAGAGGGGCAACAGGAACCAGGGGCCACUUGUCUUCUACAGGGAGAAUUUGCUCUGUUCUGUCUGUGGAGGAGAUUUUUCUGUAGUUUCUGAAUAAAUCUUGCUUUCACUUUA